rnacentral:rRNA from 1 species
AUUGAACGCUGGCGGCAGGCCUAACACAUGCAAGUCGAGCGGAGCGGCGGUCGCGUGAGUCAUGCCUAGGAAUCUGCCUGUUAGUGGGGGAUAACGUCCGGUACCGGGCGCUAAUACCGCAUACUCUCAUCUUCGCCUAGGUCGGAAUAGCUAGUUGGUGGGGUAAAGGCCUACCAAGGCGACGAUCCGUAACUGGUCUGAGAGUAUGAUCAGUCACACUGGAACUGAGCCACGGUCAAGACUCCUACGGGAGGCAGCAGGGGGGAAUAUUGGACAAUGGGCGCAAGCCUGAUCCAGCCAUGCCGCGUGUGUGAAGAAGGUCUUCGGAUUGUAAAGUACUUUAAGUUGGGAGGCGUUACCAACAGAAGAAGCACCGGCUAACUUCGUGCCAGCAGCCGCGGUAAUAC